rnacentral:tmRNA from 1 species
GGGGACGACAGGCUUCGACGUGGUCGGUUCGUGGGGGUGGUGGCGAGUCGAGGUCCCCGGUAGGCCUCGUUAAUCCACCGGGAAAAAAAUAAGUGCGAACUCGCACGAACAUGCUCUCGCUGCCUAGCUAAACCCUAAGCAGUGAGGUUCGGCCCCCGCAGCCCGCGGCGGGGAUGCUCCGGACUCAGAUAGCGGGAUUGCUCUCGUGCGGGCCACCGCCGUCAAUCGAGGGGACUUUCAGGCGGUUGGCCCUCCACAACCCCGCCGGCGUCGGCGAGUGGAGGGCGAGAUCAGAGCGCCGGCUACGCUCGUAGAUGCCACCUCUUACGCGAUUGCGGACCCGGGUUCAAUUCCCGGCGUCUCCACUG